rnacentral:misc_RNA from 1 species
GCUUGGUCUUAUGAGGAAUCAUCCUUAAAAGAAGAAAAAACAAAUUUAGAAUACCAAAGACGAAACCAAAAACAACAAAAGGGCACCUAUAUGUUUCAUUUGUACCAGCAAACAUAUUAUACAAUAAAUAUGCACUAAAAACCAAAUCAUAAAGGUAUAAGAACAGCUUUUGAUUCUAGACAUUCCAGCAAUAAUGCAUAUUUUGACUAUUAAUUAACAUAACAAACAAUUCCCGAUUGAAACUAAACAAAUAGCAUCCCUAAAAAGCACAAUUCACUCGUCUCCCAACUCAAAUGUACAUAGAAAGAUUCAACUUAGUGCAUAACUUUCAAAUCCUAUAUAGCCCAAAUAGAUAAGCAAGAAACUCCUUAGUUUAAAUAGAAGCAUCCUAUCUUUGGGCAGCGAAGACUAAGGAGAAUGAACUCAUGAUUCUACAGAAAGGUAAGCUCUCUAAACUAAACUCGGCAACUUAGAAGGUCUACAAAUUUUUGUCUAACUUCUAAAUUGCAAAAAAAUCAGAGAUGGGAUUUUCUCCUACAGUCAAAUUUCAUUGACUAAUUUAAUUAAAGAACAGAAAAGAAAACCCAG